GAUGAACGCUGGCGGCGUGCCUAAUACAUGCAAGUCGAGCGAACGGACGAGAAGCUUGUUUCUCUGAUGUUAGCGGCGGACGGGGGAGUAACACGUGGAUAAUCUACCUAUAAGACUGGGUUAAUAUCGGCAAACCGGAGCUAAUACUGGAUAAUAUUUUGAACCUCAUGGUUCAAAAGUGAAAGACGGUCUUGCUGUCACUUAUAGAUGGAUCCGCGCUGUAUUAGCUAGUUGGUAAGGUAACGGCCUACCAAGGCAACGAGGCAUAGCCGACCUGAGAGGGUGUUCGCCGACACAGGGGCUGAGAGACGGGCCAGAGACCUACGGGAGGCAGAAGUGGGGAAUCUACCGCACUGGGCGAAAGCGUGACGGAGAGACGCGGCGUGAGUGAUGAAGGGCUUCGGGUGGUAAGACUCUGUUAUGAGAGAAAAGCAUGUGUGUAUGUAACUGUGCUGAUCUGACGGUAACCUGAUCAGAAGGCCACGCCAAACAAGGU
rnacentral:rRNA from 1 species